rnacentral:rRNA from 1 species
UACGUAGGGGGCAAGCGUUAUCCGGAAUUACUGGGUGUAAAGGGAGCGUAGACGGCUGUGCAAGUCUGGAGUGAAAGGCGGGGGCCCAACCCCCGGACUGCUCUGGAAACUGUAUGGCUGGAGUGCAGGAGAGGUAAGCGGAAUUCCUAGUGUAGCGGUGAAAUGCAUAGAUAUCACGCAGAACUCCGAUUGCGAAGGCAGCAUACCGGCGCUCAACUGACGCUCAUGCACGAAAGCGUGGGUAUCGAACAGG